GUAAAAUUAAAAUUCCAGACCUUGUAUGUCAGGUUUGCUCAGUGUAAUGUAGUUUUUUUAAGGCUCAAAUACUAUACCUCAGAAAAUGAGGUUUACUAUGGAAAUACUGCAACAGUCUUUGCAGCUGUGUGAGAAGCCACUCUGCUCUAUACCAGUUUGGAGCCCUCCGCUGAACACUUUGAUCACUGCGGACUAAAAUGUGGGACUUGUAUUUUCUUUGUUUUUAAUGCACACGCAUACGUGUUCUGUGCAUGUGUGUGGGUACUGUGUAUAUGUGUAUGAGUGUUGUAUAUGCCUGUGUGAGUGUGUGUCUGUAUGUGUGUACAACUAAAGAAGCUGCAGAAACUUUGUAAUACUUUGUGAAAAGGAUUAUAUUAUAAAGGUUUGUACUGUCUGAGUGCACAGCUACUGGAAUAAAUUUAGGGAAUCUCAGGAACAAGCAUAUAAUUUGUCCAAGAUUUAUUUCUUCUCAGAAGUGUAAGUGCAGUUUUUAAUUCUGUAUAUUAUUUAAUAUUUUACCAAUAAAAUAAACUUCUGACAUAAAAAGUUUGCUAUAAAAACUUUCUGGUGAAAAUUCUGUACACAAACACAUCUUCCAAAUACAGAAGAAUAAACCCUGGGAUAGAUUCAGGUGUAUUUCAGUUGUCAUUGACGCUGCGUACACAUGUCACACGUCCUGACACGUGAGAGCAGCCGUCCCACGAGUAAGUGCCAUGGAGUCCAGAGCACAGGGCAGAGAAGUCCCUUAUUUGUUAAGGGUGACAUCUCUUUGCUCUUCAGGCAGUUUUCCUAUCUCUCUUAUUUUACCUUUAUAACUAAUUUGAGAGGUAUGUAUGCCAGCACCUAUCCCCUAUUAAUAGAAGAAAAAAGUGAGACCCAAGGGAAGAGAGUUGUGACUUGCUCCAAAGUGCACAGUGAAUUUCAUAAGCAGUCCAAGUAAUGGUCAAUAACCAUAUUAGAAGCUAGCAUUUCUUAGGAGUCAGACCAAGAUUAAAUAAAGGAUUAAUUCACAGAGAUUGUUCAAUCACAUUGGCAAUCUCACUAUAUGAGAGAGAAACUUCUCAGAUUUUACAAAUACAGUUUGUUUUACCAUGAGAAGUUCUGUUACAAUUCUCUUCAUAACCAGAAAUGUAAAAGGGCACAUGCGAUUGCAGACUCAUUUUAUUUAGCUUUAGCUAUGUAUUAUCCCCCAUGCCAAUUUAAAGUCUACCGUCACAUUUGAGAUAGCCAUUAGAAUUUAUCUUCAUAGGUAAGUAUUUACAGAAUUCCAUGGAUAUUUAUCACAUUCCCCACUAACUUCACUGCCAUAUGCCACACAGAUGAAAAAUACUACAAAUUCAAAUGAAAUUUUUUUCUUCCUUGACUUUUAAUUCAAAAUACUAACUUAACUGAUGGGGGGGAGUGCAAACAAAGGGAGUAACAAGGCAAAGAAGAAAAAAAGAGAAUGAACUUAACAGAUGACUAGCAUUAAGUUUGUGAAAGAUCCCUCCAGUAGCAGCGAGAAAUGCUUAUCAGAUCUCCUGCUUUAUCGUAUUGACAAGAGCAAAAUGGAAAAGAUUUUUUUAAAACAUGCCAUAUGUUCUUGAUUUUUCUAUUGCAUUAGGGUCAGAGAAACAAAUAAUUGAAAUCUUGAUCUGAUUGUAAGACUUUUUAUCACUAUACUCAAGUCAAAGGGCUGUCCUUGGGGUGCGAGCCACCUUGUGAAGGAAGUUCAUUUAGCAUUUUAGCAACUCUGUUUCUUACUAUUAGGGUGUUUUAAGAUGGACCCGUUAAACUUCCAGCAAAACCUCAUGUUCUGUUAAUAGCCCCACUAACAGUUCCCAGUGUAAUCUUUUAACAUCUCACUAGAAAUACCAAUUAAAGAUAACUGGUGAAAUUGAAUUUUGCUGCUUUUCUCUGAUUUGAAGCAAAACUGGAAGGAGGUACUUCCGUAAACUAGCCUCACGGGCAGAUGGAAGGAAUUGACAAAGAGAUAAAGUGUCCAUAAUCCCAUAUGAAAAUGGGUUGAAGUGGAGAGACGUCCUGGAAAACAAAAGUAUGCGCAGUCUGAGAAGAAGAAAUAUUAGCUUUUUGCUUUUGUCCUCACAGUUGCUCUAUAAUCCUAGAAUAUGUCUUCGAUCAAACUAACUGCUUCUAACUUGAAAUUUUGUCAAGCACAGGACAAAUCCCUCAAAACAGUAAAAACAGACGCUGCCCAUGUCGGUGUUGAGUUGUUUGUUCUGGAAACCCUUAAAAAAGAGCUGUAUGACCCUGAUCAUCUGACCAACUGGAACCUAUGCAAAGAAGCAAGAUUUUUUAGUGCUCCAGGAAGAACCAAGAGUAAAAAGGAAGUCAGGUAAGGGUGUGGCUAUUGGGGUCUCCUAGGCCGUAGGUAAGCCUGUGACUAAACAGGCAGGAGGAACUCAGCGGUGUUGGUGUCAUUUCUCCUCAACUGAUGGAGAUUGGGCAUCCCAGUCUCUACCGGGAGUGCUUCAUGAAAUCUCUUGAUGGGGAAGUAGGAGAAUUUAACUAAGAGAGAAUGGGAAUAAAGUCUAUAUUAUGUCAAUGCCCUGAGCCCAAGUAUUCGUUCUUGUUGGUGGAUAUAAAAGCAUAAAAGACUGGCCAAUACAGCUUUUGUAAAUUAUGGAUGUGUUUCCAACUGUGUGACCCACCAUUCGAAAGUAAGGACAGGGAGAGUAGGGUAUUUUGCUCUCAGAGCAGUAACAGUGGAUGCUGGGAAGUAGGAUAUCCCAGUCUUGGGAGUAAGUGUCCUUCUUUUCUUCUCCAUUUUUUUCCUUCUUUCCAUUUCCCCUUGUAUUAUGUAACUCAUCUGUAUUUCUUUCUAGUUCCUUCCCCUCCUUUCUCAUGUGUGUCCACAUCAACCUUUUUUUCUCUUUCCACUCUCUUCUCUGCAUAACCUACUGUUACCAUUUGCUAUCUGUUUUUCUCAACCUUGUCACAAUUCUGCUUAACUCAUCUGAAAUAUAAUCUCUUUCAGUAUAAGUAAUUUAAUAUAUAUGAGUUUUAACUAUACCCUUUCUUACAAGUACUUUACAAAUUAGCACAGUUGUUACUGGCUUUAUGUAAUUCACUCUCAAAAUUCUCAUGGAAAGUGUAGGGUAUCUGAUACUUAAUUUUAUUGAUAAGCAAACUGGUUCAGGUUGCUUUUGAUUUUGUUCAGAAACACCCCAAUAAGUGAAAAAGCUAAAAAUAGAUUCUAAUUCCAGAUACACUUAGUCCAGUAUUUCAUUUUCUAAAGUUUAUUCAGCAUUUGAUUGAUAAGCCCCAUUAAUAAAGGGGAAUAACAAAUUUAUAGUCUGAAUUUUUGUGUCCCCCAGAUUCAUGUGUUGAAAUCCUAUUGCCAAUUUGAUGGUCUCAGGAGGUGGGACCUUUGGGAGGUGGUUAGGACAUGAGAGUGGAACCCUCAUGAUGGAAUUAAUGUUCUUAUAAAAGAGACCCCACAGAGCUCCCUAGUCCCUUCCACCAUGUGAGGACACAGUGAGAAGUCACCAGCCAUGAAACAGGAAGAGAGCUUUCACCAGAACGCAACCAUGAUGGCACCUUGAUCUUGGACUUCCAGCCUCCAGAACUGAAGGAGACAUGUACAACCAUUUGGAAUUUCUUGGCUUUGACCUGUCAAGUCUCUGCAGUCUUCAAGGAUGGUUGCUGUAGUUACGCCUACCAUCAUAUUCUCCAGUCGUACUUCUACAAUGCAACAUAAUUUACAGACACAGCUUCUCAUAAAGAUUUCCAAAGGUAAGUAAUUUUGUUUUUUCAGGAGAUAGGAAAACUUUGUUUUCCUAACUUAAAAUCUGUCGUUCAUUGUAGUUGACAAAAGGACAUUCUUGAGUUCCAAACCCCAUACUGGCCUAAAUAUUAGGAACUGGUUCCCUACAUCCUGGGACUUGACAGAUCUGUACCCUCACUUUCUUAUUUGUUGUAGAAUGCAUCUUCUUAUGCAAUAUCCAUUAAAUCAAUAGUAUUUUGGAAAAUUUUCUGUGUGUCUGGUGUCAUCCUAGAAGCCAUGACAUUUUUGAAAAGCAAGCUCCUAAUUAUAUUUUUCAUUUACUUUUUUUUGAGGAAGAUCAGCCCUGAGCUAACAUCUGCCACCAAUCCUCCUCUUUUUGCUGAGGAAGACUGGCCCUGAGCUAACAUCCGUGCCCAUCUUCCUCUACUUUAUACGUGCGAUGCCUGCCACAGCAUGGCUUGAUGAGCAAUGCAUAGAUCCGCACCUGGGAUCCGAACUGGCAAACCCCGGGCCGCCCAAGCGGAACAGCCAAACUUAACUGCUGCGCCACCCGCCGGCCCCAACAAGCUCCUAAUUUUAGGAAACAAGAAAUACAAUUGGGAAAUUAGGAAACAAAAAGAUUCCAAGACAAUCGUAAAGGAAUAGAGAAAAUAGACCUUAGACUGUGUAAGUACUCAAGGCCUUCACUGAAAGGAGAAGAAGGACCUUUCUCAUUGGAUGAGUGUCUUAUUUGUGCAGACUGUAAAGGAAGUGAAUUCUGAAGACAUAGGGAAACGUAGAGUGCCUGAGAGGGCUUCUGGGCAGAGGGAGCAGGGUAAAGCUUGGGAAAGUCUAACGUCUAUGAGAAAUGU
rnacentral:lncRNA from 1 species